UAACCUCCGCAGGCUGGCCCUGGCCCUGGCUGGGCUGUCUGAGCAAGUAUCUCUUCAAAAGGCUCACCUUUAAGCACAAGUAGGAGC
rnacentral:pre_miRNA from 1 species